ensembl:snRNA U6 U6 spliceosomal RNA
UUGCUUUGGCAGCACAUAUACUGAAAUUGGGGUGAUACAGAGAAGAUUAGCAUGGCCCUACUGCAAGAAGGACAUGCAGAUUCGGAAUUGGUCAUCAUUUCU